rnacentral:lncRNA from 1 species
CUCCUCUGUCUUCCUUCCCUGUCAGAGGAUUUCCCCUCUUAGCGACUCAAGUUGGGGACUGUGUAGACGCUGCUACUGGGUUAGUCAGUGCAGACUCUGGUGAGUAACUGGGUAAUUAUUUCCAAAAAUAUUGACUUGUAAUGUGAAGAAAGCUCUUCUCCAUGCCACCCGUCAGCAGAAAAUUGCCUUUGGUAUUAACAUUUCACCAACUGCAUAAUGUGAAUUGAUGUAAAUGCAUAAUUAGAAAUAAUAGCCUGGGAAAAUUCACUCUUAUUUAUAAAAUUGGGCUUGUUAAAUUAAAAUGGAAGCUAACAGCUUCCAUCUCACUCUUACAACAUGUCGGAGGCUGUGCCUGCCUGGUUCUGCAGAACCCUCCAUCAGCGGGUAGGGGCGUGUCCGUGGCUCAGUGGGGAGACCUUGGAGAGGGGACACUCGGUGAGCAGGCAUGGACGCCACCUGUCCAAAAGGUGGCUCUCUAGCAACACGCACAGGCCUCUCGAAGACGUCUUAAUCAACAGGCAACCAAUGGCAACCCCUCGGGGAAGAGGGCUGGGGCCAGUUUCCUCAGCCCUCCUUCUUGUGGAAUGGGGACCAGCACACCUGCCCCACCCGAGUCCCAGGGACGUGGUGGGGGCUGGGUACGAUGCUGUGCUGUGCUGGGGCAUCGAGGCACAGGAACGUGCUCUGCAAACGCUAAGAGUUUGCCGAGGGCAGGGAGAAGAGAAACUUCAUCAUCAUCAUCAUCAUCAUCAUCACCAUCGAUAUUCAUUCAUUCAUUCAACAAGCACUCAUUAAGCAUCUACUACUCCAUGCCAGUCCCUGUGCCAGAUGGUGGAGGUAUAGAGGUUCUUUCUCUGCAUGUUGGCCUCAUUCUCUCUACUCUUGCAGGCUGUGCCCUCCUGACGUCGGGUCCUGUUCUCUGCAGUUGAGCCCAGAGGGCCUGGCACUCGUGGAGGCCGUCGUCCUGUCUUCUCCAGGCCUGGAAGCUGUGGUGAAGUCAAGGGGAGGGGCUGCCCGGGGCUGCCCUGGGGAGCGGGGUGAGGGCGAGAGCGAUGGAGAAAUGCGUGGUUCUUAUUUCCGACGCUAAGGCCCAGGGAGGAGGGGCUGCCUUAGGUCUUUCUGGUCUGUUUUCAGAGGAGGGCUCCGAGGGCCUCAGACUGCGAGGUGCCUGUGGGCUCCGGGGGCGGGGGCUAUUUUCGCCUCACCCUGGCACCUCCUCUUGGGUGCCUUCCGGGGACUGGGGAACUGCGUGCGGGUGGCUGUCCAUCUUGUCUACCUGUCCAGCAGGUGCAGGGCCCGCAGCAGCCCACCCAGCCCCCCGUGCUGUGUCUGGUGUCCCCUUCAUGUGGGGCCUGGCCCUCCCGGGGACGGCGCACUCGGUCCUCGAGCUGU